UUAAAGAGGUACUUGCUCUCGGUAGCUUACUUGCUCUCGGUAGCUGCUCCGGCGAGGCGAAAACCUAACUCAUAAGUGACGAGACAUUGAGCAACAGGAACAAACGCUGAGAAGACAGUAUAUAAACCAGGCUGACAUGACCCCCCACCCCCCGAGGAGUGUGGUGGAGGAAACCCCACCUGGUCUUGAGGGGCGGAGUGAGAGGACGACAGACUCACGCGAAGGGACUGCAACGCCAAGGACGGGACGGCUCCAAAGAGCAGGUGCUUGUUCCGGGCUGAAGGUGGCGGUGCCAUCACACACAGUCCACGGCAUCAGGGGUCAGGCUCUCUACCUCCCCGUACACUAUGGAUUCCACACUCCGGCAUCAGACAUCCAGAUCAUAUGGCUGUUUGAGAGACCCCACACGAUGCCCAAAUACUUACUGGGCUCUGUGAACAAGUCUGUGGUUCCCGACUUGGAAUACCAACACAAAUUCACCAUGAUGCCACCCAAUGCCUCCCUGCUCAUCAACCCAUUGCAGUUCACUGAUGAAGGCAAUUACAUCGUGAAGGUCAACAUUCAGGGAAAUGGAACUGUGUCAGCUAGUCAGAAGAUUCAAGUUACCGUUGAUGAUCCUGUCACGAAACCAGUGGUGCAGACUCAGCCUUCCUCUGGGGCUGUGGAGUAUGUGGGGAACAUGACCCUGACAUGCCUCGUGGAAGGGGGCACCCGGCUGGUCUACCAGUGGCUAAAAAAUGGGAGGCCUGUCCACACCAGCUCUACCAACUCCUUUUCUCUCCAAAACAACAGCCUUCAUAUUGUUCCAGUGACCAAAGAAGACAUUGGGAAUUACAGUUGCCUGGUGAAGAACCCUAUCAGUGAGAUGGAAAGUGACAUCAUUAUGCCUACCAUAUAUUAUGGACCUUAUGGACUUCAAGUUAAUUCUGAUAAAGGGCUAAAAGUAGGAGAAGUGUUCACUGUGGAUAUUGGAGAAGCCAUCUUGUUUGAUUGCUCUGCUGAUUCUUACCCUCCCAACACCUACUCCUGGAUCCGGAGGACAGACAAUGUCACAUAUGUCAUUAAGCAUGGGCCUCGCUUGGAAGUUGCAUCCGAGAAAAUAGCCCAGAAGACAACUGACUAUGUGUGCUGUGCUUACAACAAUGUAACUGGAAGGCGAGAUGAAACUCAUUUCACCAUCAUCAUCACUUCUGUAGGAAUAGAGAAACUUGCACAAAAAGGGAAAUCAUUGUCCCCUUUAGCAAGUAUAACUGGAAUAUCACUCUUUUUGAUUAUAUCCAUGUGUCUUCUCCUCCUAUGGAAAAAAUAUCAACCCUACAAAGUUAUAAAGCAAAAGCUAGAAGGCAGGCCAGAAACCGAAUACAGGAAAGCUCAAAUGUUUUCAGGCCACGAAGAUGCUCUGGAUGACUUUGGAAUAUAUGAAUUUGUUGCUUUUCCAGAUGCUUCUGGUGUUCCCAGGGUUGGUUUUCCUAGUGGCUGAUUAGCCCAGAAGUAGCAUUCUGCUUCACCAGAGGUGUAAGCAGCAUUCAUUUAAGCAUGUGGGCAGUGUGGUCAAAUGGCUGCAUUACCCUCAGCAGUGUUUACUCACUCUGUAAUGAAUGACCUUGCCGGAUCUGGGGAGCUAAAGCAUCUUUCUCAGCCUCUAUCAAUAAAGCUAACACAAAUAAGGAAGUUACACGAAUUCAUAAACAUUCUUUACCUGGUAGGCUCAGUGAAGAGAGAAUUAACUAGGUUGAAGGUCAAGAGAAGUGAAUAAAUAGGGGACCAAGAGACCCUGGUUUAAAUAAUUCUGCGUCAUUUUGAUGACUGCAGCCUGUCACUUCACUGACUCUCUCUGUUGCUCAGUUUCCCCUUUAUUUCCUCCUCAUAUCUCAUGAGGACAUUGCAAAGACGAUUAUACCCUUGAAGGUACCUUAUGCUCUUCAGAAGAAAGGUACCAUAUAAACCCGAAGUAUGCAGGUACAUAUCUUUAUUUUUUCCUAAAGGUGCAUGAGAUGUGAGAGCGGGAACUUUUAUACAGUUGAAGCCAUUUUUUUCAGUCCACAGAGACAAGGUUUUUUAAGCAAUCAGUUUUGUUUAACAGGCAAGCAGAAUGUUUCUCUGAGCUAAUCAGCUCAUUAACAUUUUUACAGAUUUAUGUACAACCGAUCUUUCCUCUGUUUCCUUAUUCCCCUAUGAUAGUUCACUUAAGGAAGGGGCCAGAAACGGACUACUUGCCUCUGGGCAUUUUCAUUUCCUUUUUAAAAGAAAACUAUCAAUAUUUGUUGUUAGGGAUUGGUUACCUCACUUGUUCAGAGAAUUCUAUAUAAGAUUCUAAGGUUCACGCAGUAAGUUACCUGGCCACAGGCUUUAGUUCUCAAAUGCCACGUGAGUAAUGGAGGGGGAUUGAUUGGAUUUCAUCCUCCUAUGGGUGAGUCGCAGCACCAGUGCCCACAUCAUCACAGAUGAAGAGAAAAACUGCAUUGCAAAAGCUUUGCAAUGUCCUAUUCAGUCUCAGGCAGGAUUGGCUCACCCUUCACUUCUACAACCAAAAAGACAAAAAUAAAUAUUUGGUGGAUCAGUUAUUUCAGACAACUCCUCACCAUGGCAGAAAGCACCCCUCUCAGGUGUGGCUUUUAAAUGGGAAAGCAGGAAACUGAAGAGCUAAUAAGACUUAAAAGUGGAUUUUGAAGUCAGUUUUUAUUCCUAGGAAUGCAUUGGAAAGGAGUGAGAUCUAUGUAGGAAACUUUCAAUUUAGCCUUGCAAUUAAUCAGUACUCAGUUUCAAGAUUUUAUUGAGAGGACCCCUAUUUGCUCAAAAUGCUACAGUUCUAAAGAACCUGAGGCAGAGAAAUGAGUGUUUGAUGACGUAUCAGAAGCCCCGCUUAUAUCUGUCGUAAGUAAAAUAACUCGACUUGGAACUAUGCCCAUCUUCAAUGCUGAAAACUCCUGAGGAAUCAGCUGAGGUCCUUCACUGGUGGUUCCAGGUGCUUUGGGAAGAAGUGAGAAACCAACACCAACAACCCAAGGAGCAGAAGGACCCAGACAUGAGUAGGAGGAUCUGUGUGAGAAGCAGCCAGAAUGGCAGUUAUGUGUGAAGAUUAACAGCUAAAUGCAACAGUUUUGAGAAGAAAAGGAAUAAUAAUAACAUUACCAAGAUCUCAAGAUUGAAGUUAAGAAGGGAAAUAAAUUGAUUACUAACUUUUUGAGUUUUUAAAAAUCAGAAUCAUCUUUUAGCUUGUCUUGAUACAUGUACAGAUGAGUACUCCUCCUCUCUCUACUUACUGUACAUUUCAUUGCCCAUUUAGCACUUCUUUUGGGGAAUUGGACAGAAAGCAAUGGCAUGAAAUGAAGAAAUUUAUUACUUGCUAACAGGUCUAAUAUCAGGUUAGUUGAGUAAGUUAGUCAUUAUCUAUAGAUUGCUUUUAUCAUAGCCCCUGAACACCUCUAUACCAAAGAAAAUCAAGAGUUGAUCUUAAGUAAAAACUCUAAACCAAAAUCCCCUUGACACAAAAAUGAUAGGAUGAAUCACCUAUUCAGUCCUAGGAUAAAUAGCCUAGGACUGCCAUGAGAGCUUUAACAAGUAGAAUAGAAACAGGCAGUUUCCAGAAAAAUCUAAAGCUAAGAUAUUCCAAAGUAACCUAGCAGGUCAAAUGAGAUAAAGAGCUCUUCAGAUGAUUCAUCAAGGGCAGAGUCCUCUAGGUGGAUCUGUAUAAAUAUAAAGGACUGAAAGUGGCCAGAAGUACGAUGAAAAUAGAACAAGUUUGGGAUGAGGAGGGGAACCAGACUUUAGCUAAGUAAUUGGAAAACAGUGUUUACAAGAAUAACUAUCAAAUAUAAGGAAUAGGAGUUAAUGAAACAUGAAUAACAGUUUCAAUAAAAUACAUGUUGAUUUUAACCAGACAGACAUACACUGCUAUACUUUCCACAUUCAUCCAAGCCUUACUUUUUAGAGCCCAUUACUGCAUUCAAACCAAAACAUCUUCUUUUGUGUGUUCUGUAUUUCUUGGUACUGUCUUUACUAACUUGCAAUGUGAUGAAGGCUUCUGGCUGUAAGUUAUUCUUUUUUUCUAAACCACCCUUGCACACAUGAUUGGCGAUUAGUGUCAAAAAGGUAAGACUGAGAUGUAAUAUAAAGGAUAGUAAUAUAUGCUCUUUGAUUCUAAGCUAUCCUGAUAUCUUCUCUUUUGCUAUUUUUUUCUACUGUAUUUACAGUACUGCCAGCUUUUUUCUUAAAUGGAGAAAAAAAGUGAUAGUUUGUCCAGCUAUUCCUCUUCUGACCUCAUAGCUAUGCCACUGCACAAACUACCAUAGGAUGUCAACGAGAUCUGUUCCAGCCUCUGAUGGUGUACCAGGGCAAGAUUUGCACAGUACAAUUUACGAAGUUAUUCAGCACAU